rnacentral:tRNA from 1 species
GAAGCCUAUGGGUUUGUCUGGGUCCUGCUAAGUCCACAGACCUGCGGUUCGAAUCCGUUGAGGCCUCG